rnacentral:rRNA from 1 species
UUCUCUCCUUCCAUGGGGGACGGAGCCGCACAACCCGGGAUUGGUUUACUUUGAAAAAAAUUAGAGUGUUUAAAGCAGGCUUAUGGCUCUGAAUACAUUAGCAUGGAAUAAUAAGAUAGGACUUGGGUUCUAUUUUGUUGGUUUCUAGAACUGAAGUAAUGAUUGAUAGGGACAGUUGGGGGUGCUAGUAUUUAACGGCCAGAGGUGAAAUUCUUGGAUUCGUUGAAGACUAACUUAUGCGAAAGCAUUCACCAAGGAUGUCUUCUUUAAUCAAGAACGAAAGUUGGGGGAUCGAAGACGAUCAGAUACCGUCGUAGUCUCAACCAUAAACUAUGCCGACUAGGGAUGAGUGGACGUUGCUUUUUCGACUCCAUUCGCACCUUAUGAGAAAUCAAAGUUUUUGGGUUCCGGGGGGAGUAUGGUCGCAAGGCUGAAACUUAAAGGAAUUGACGGAAGGGCACCACCAGGAGUGGAGCCUGCGGCUUAAUUUGACUCAACACGGGAAAACUUACCAGGUCCAGACAUAAUAAGGAUUGACAGAUUGAAGAUCUUUCAUGAUCUCAUGGGUGGUGGUGCAUGGCCGUUCUUAGUUGGUGGAGUGAUUUGUCUGCUUAAUUGCGUUAACGAACGAGACCUCGACCUGCUAAAUAGUUGCCCGAACACUACGGUGUUCGCGUGUGACUUCUUAGAGGGACUAUCGGUCCGUAGCCGAUGGAAGUUCGAGGCAAUAACAGGUCUGUGAUGCCCUUAGAUGUUCUGGGCUGCACGCGCGCUACACUGGUGCAUUCAUCAAGCUUACCACCUUGGCCGAUAGGUCUGGGUAAUCUUUUCAAAGUGCAUCGUGAUGGGGAUAGAUGAUUGCAAUUUUUCAUCUUCAACGAGGAAUUCCUAGUAAACGCAAGUCAUCAGCUUGCAUUGAUUACGUCCCUGCCCUUUGUACACACCGCCCGUCGCUACUACCGAUUGAAUGGUUUAGUGAGUUCCACGGAUUGGUGACAACUGGAGGUUCUGCCUCUGGUCAACGCCGAAAAGUGGAUCAAACUGAC